AUGACAUUAGUUGAACAGGAUUUGCUCCAUAAGAUUGUAGCACUGCAUCUUUUACCACAAAGGAGGCAAGCCCUUCAAUCUGGUUGAUGAGCCAGGACCUCUAGGUCAGAGCAUGAUUGACAUUUGACAGCCAGGAUGCUUGGGGUUGUUGCCAUCGAAUAGCAGUAAAGGAUCAUCCCUGACAGGUUUAGGCCUGGUCAGGGUGGCCCAGGCGGUUAGAUA
rnacentral:snoRNA from 1 species